rnacentral:misc_RNA from 1 species
GGUUUUGAGUUACUGUUCCAUUAUCAUCUUAGUUUUGUUUCACAUUCCUUUUGGAUAUGUCUGGUUAAAAGUAUCAUUUCAUUGCCACUUCUGAAUUAUAUUGCAGUCGUAUUCCAUUUAAUUUGAAUAUUUGUGCUUGAGAAGUUUCAAGUUCAUGUUUAUUUCAAUCGAUUGAAGUUUGAUAUUAUGAAACUUAAUUGCCGUGCUUUCGAUAACGAAUUCUUCAAAUUAAAUGAUCAUUUCACCAGCUUUUCUGCAAAUGAGUUUAAAUUCUAUGAAAUAUACUGUAUUGACUACAUGCUCAUACUGUUGUUGAAACGUAGACUGAUUCUUUGGUUUUGUAAUGGGUGUUAGUUUGAGAGUUAAUUGGUAGUGACUAGUGACUUGGUAAUAACUAGAAAUGUCUUAAUUAAUAACAGCUCAAUGAAAUUAGCAAUGAAAUGGUUUAUCAAGCAAGAUGACAUCUGUU